GGGUUGUGAGGUUAAGCGACUAAGCGUACACGGUGGAUGCCCUGGCAGUCAGAGGCGAUGAAGGACGUGCUAAUCUGCGAUAAGCGUCGGUAAGGUGAUAUGAACCGUUAUAACCGGCGAUUUCCGAAUGGGGAAACCCAGUGUGAUUCGUCACACUAUCAUUAACUGAAUCCAUAGGUUAAUGAGGCGAACCGGGGGAACUGAAACAUCUAAGUACCCCGAGGAAAAGAAAUCAACCGAGAUUCCCCCAGUAGCGGCGAGCGAACGGGGAGCAGCCCAGAGCCUGAAUCAGUGUGUGUGUUAGUGGAAGCGUCUGGAAAGGCGCGCGAUACAGGGUGACAGCCCCGUACACAAAAAUGCACAUGCUGUGAGCUCGAUGAGUAGGGCGGGACACGUGGUAUCCUGUCUGAAUAUGGGGGGACCAUCCUCCAAGGCUAAAUACUCCUGACUGACCGAUAGUGAACCAGUACCGUGAGGGAAAGGCGAAAAGAACCCCGGCGAGGGGAGUGAAAAAGAACCUGAAACCGUGUACGUACAAGCAGUGGGAGCACGCUUAGGCGUGUGACUGCGUACCUUUUGUAUAAUGGGUCAGCGACUUAUAUUCUGUAGCAAGGUUAACCGAAUAGGGGAGCCGAAGGGAAACCGAGUCUUAACUGGGCGUUAAGUUGCAGGGUAUAGACCCGAAACCCGGUGAUCUAGCCAUGGGCAGGUUGAAGGUUGGGUAACACUAACUGGAGGACCGAACCGACUAAUGUUGAAAAAUUAGCGGAUGACUUGUGGCUGGGGGUGAAAGGCCAAUCAAACCGGGAGAUAGCUGGUUCUCCCCGAAAGCUAUUUAGGUAGCGCCUCGUGAAUUCAUCUCCGGGGGUAGAGCACUGUUUCGGCAAGGGGGUCAUCCCGACUUACCAACCCGAUGCAAACUGCGAAUACCGGAGAAUGUUAUCACGGGAGACACACGGCGGGUGCUAACGUCCGUCGUGAAGAGGGAAACAACCCAGACCGCCAGCUAAGGUCCCAAAGUCAUGGUUAAGUGGGAAACGAUGUGGGAAGGCCCAGACAGCCAGGAUGUUGGCUUAGAAGCAGCCAUCAUUUAAAGAAAGCGUAAUAGCUCACUGGUCGAGUCGGCCUGCGCGGAAGAUGUAACGGGGCUAAACCAUGCACCGAAGCUGCGGCAGCGACGCUGAUGCGUUGUUGGGUAGGGGAGCGUUCUGUAAGCCUGCGAAGGUGUGCUGUGAGGCAUGCUGGAGGUAUCAGAAGUGCGAAUGCUGACAUAAGUAACGAUAAAGCGGGUGAAAAGCCCGCUCGCCGGAAGACCAAGGGUUCCUGUCCAACGUUAAUCGGGGCAGGGUGAGUCGACCCCUAAGGCGAGGCCGAAAGGCGUAGUCGAUGGGAAACAGGUUAAUAUUCCUGUACUUGGUGUUACUGCGAAGGGGGGACGGAGAAGGCUAUGUUGGCCGGGCGACGGUUGUCCCGGUUUAAGCGUGUAGGCUGGUUUUCCAGGCAAAUCCGGAAAAUCAAGGCUGAGGCGUGAUGACGAGGCACUACGGUGCUGAAGCAACAAAUGCCCUGCUUCCAGGAAAAGCCUCUAAGCAUCAGGUAACAUCAAAUCGUACCCCAAACCGACACAGGUGGUCAGGUAGAGAAUACCAAGGCGCUUGAGAGAACUCGGGUGAAGGAACUAGGCAAAAUGGUGCCGUAACUUCGGGAGAAGGCACGCUGAUAUGUAGGUGAAGCGACUUGCUCGUGGAGCUGAAAUCAGUCGAAGAUACCAGCUGGCUGCAACUGUUUAUUAAAAACACAGCACUGUGCAAACACGAAAGUGGACGUAUACGGUGUGACGCCUGCCCGGUGCCGGAAGGUUAAUUGAUGGGGUCAGCGCAAGCGAAGCUCUUGAUCGAAGCCCCGGUAAACGGCGGCCGUAACUAUAACGGUCCUAAGGUAGCGAAAUUCCUUGUCGGGUAAGUUCCGACCUGCACGAAUGGCGUAAUGAUGGCCAGGCUGUCUCCACCCGAGACUCAGUGAAAUUGAACUCGCUGUGAAGAUGCAGUGUACCCGCGGCAAGACGGAAAGACCCCGUGAACCUUUACUAUAGCUUGACACUGAACAUUGAGCCUUGAUGUGUAGGAUAGGUGGGAGGCUUUGAAGUGUGGACGCCAGUCUGCAUGGAGCCGACCUUGAAAUACCACCCUUUAAUGUUUGAUGUUCUAACGUUGACCCGUGAUCCGGGUUGCGGACAGUGUCUGGUGGGUAGUUUGACUGGGGCGGUCUCCUCCUAAAGAGUAACGGAGGAGCACGAAGGUUGGCUAAUCCUGGUCGGACAUCAGGAGGUUAGUGCAAUGGCAUAAGCCAGCUUGACUGCGAGCGUGACGGCGCGAGCAGGUGCGAAAGCAGGUCAUAGUGAUCCGGUGGUUCUGAAUGGAAGGGCCAUCGCUCAACGGAUAAAAGGUACUCCGGGGAUAACAGGCUGAUACCGCCCAAGAGUUCAUAUCGACGGCGGUGUUUGGCACCUCGAUGUCGGCUCAUCACAUCCUGGGGCUGAAGUAGGUCCCAAGGGUAUGGCUGUUCGCCAUUUAAAGUGGUACGCGAGCUGGGUUUAGAACGUCGUGAGACAGUUCGGUCCCUAUCUGCCGUGGGCGCUGGAGAACUGAGGGGGGCUGCUCCUAGUACGAGAGGACCGGAGUGGACGCAUCACUGGUGUUCGGGUUGUCAUGCCAAUGGCACUGCCCGGUAGCUAAAUGCGGAAGAGAUAAGUGCUGAAAGCAUCUAAGCACGAAACUUGCCCCGAGAUGAGUUCUCCCUGACUCCUUGAGAGUCCUGAAGGAACGUUGAAGACGACGACGUUGAUAGGCCGGGUGUGUAAGCGCAGCGAUGCGUUGAGCUAACCGGUACUAAUGAACCGUGAGGCUUAACCUUACAACGCCGAAG
rnacentral:rRNA from 1 species